AUUGAACGCUGGCGGCAGGCUUAACACAUGCAAGUCGAGCGAGCGGCGGACGGGUGAGUAAUGUCUGGGAAACUGCCUGAUGGAGGGGGAUAACUACUGGAAACGGUAGCUAAUACCGCAUACCAUCAGAUGUGCCCAGAUGGGAUUAGCUAGUAGGUGGGGGAAUGGCUCACCUAGGCGACGUUCCCUAGCUGGUCUGAGAGGAUGACCAGCAACACUGGAACGUAGCCACGGUCAAGACUCCUACGAGAGGAAGCAGUGGGGAAUAUUGCACAAUUGGCGCAAGCCGGAUGCAGCCAUGCCGCGUGUGUGAAGAAGGCCUUCGGGUUGUAAAGUACUUUCAGCGAGGAGGCGUUACUCGCAGAAGAAGCACCGGCUAACUCCGUGCCAGCCGCCGCGGUAAUAC
rnacentral:rRNA from 1 species